AUGAAAUAUUACAUCAAAAGUUACAAACCAAGCAUAUCCCUUCAAAGUUCUUCUCAUUCACACAAAAACUCAAAAGAAACAAAUAAGUUGAUAUUCAAUAUAUUCGUUCGGAAGAUAAUAUGGCAGAUUUCUUCACAAAAACACUCUCUACAUCAAUUUUCAAGAAAAAAAAAUGAAUGGGAGAAAAAAAAUGAAUUAAAGAGAAGACGCCACUUGAAUUGA